AGCUGCGGCCGCGCCCUUGCCAGAGCAGGUGCGUCCGCCUAGCCCCGCUCCGCCUGAGGCCGUCAGGGCUCCCGAGGAUGGAAGAUUCCCAGGAGACAUCGCCGUCCUCCAACAACUCCUCGGAGGAGCUCAGCUCUGCUCUGCACCUGUCCAAGGGCAUGUCGAUCUUCCUCGACAUACUGAGGAGAGCAGACAAAAAUGAUGAUGGAAAAUUAUCCUUUGAAGAAUUCAAAGCAUAUUUUGCAGAUGGUGUUCUCAGUGGAGAAGAAUUACACGAGCUUUUCCAUACCAUUGAUACACAUAAUACUAAUAAUCUUGACACAGAAGAGCUAUGUGAAUAUUUUUCUCAGCACUUGGGCGAGUAUGAGAAUGUACUAGCAGCACUUGAAGACCUGAAUCUUUCCAUCCUGAAGGCAAUGGGCAAAACAAAGAAAUUUUGAAGACUUUCAGCACUGGGGCAAGAGAAAGCGUAGCCACCAGCACCCUGCAA
rnacentral:sRNA from 1 species